GGGUGGCUGGGCUGCCCGCCUCCUCCUCGUCCUCCCCUGGGCCUGGAUGAGAUCACCGUGUCGGGCCGCCGGCUGUCCCUGCGCUUCCAACAAAUCGACUCCUCGGCGAGCGUCGGCAUCUCAUGAUCUCAUGGCCCCGCGGGACGGCGCCGGCCGAUGAGGUCACAUCCCCGCGCCCCGGGCUGCCCCGCUCUGCACGCCGCCGCCUCCCGGUCAGGUCUCCUGGCGCCCUGCGCCAGUACCGAGCCUCCUAACCGAAGGCUUUUCGACCUCCGCGGACAAAGAAGGUCGCAGCUUGCGAAAGGCACAACUGCCUUUUCCAUUCUUGUGACGCGUCUUCGCGCGCCCACUGCUCGUUCUCUUGUUUGAACAUUUCACCCCUAAGGCCACGUGUCCAGCAGGAGGGACCGCACCAGCGCCCCCAGACUUGAGGUCAAGAGCUAUGCGGACUUGCCCGCAUGAUUUCACAGCCGCUGCGUUAAGAAAGUUCUACAGCUAGCCUUGUCUUACAGAAGAGGGAACCGCCCCAGGUUACUCGUCUAGUGAAGGGUGGCACAGGGACUGGAACCGAGGGCUCCUCCUUGAUGUGGUGAUGUCAUCUGCAUAGAGAUGAGGCCACCGAGCUCAAUACUGCAACCUCACUCCCCUGAGGAUCCACAGCUAGUGGCAAAACCAGGAUUUGAACCCAGGCCACCCCAAGACUGGGUCUGGGGCUGACGCACAGAUGAGGAAACUGAAGCUCAGAGAAGAGAGGCCAGAGCCGAUGCUGAUGGAAAUGGCAGAACCAGGAUUCAAUCUCAGAUCCACCUGGCUCCAGAGUGCAAGCUCUUUCCAAUCCACUCCUUUUUAGAAAAGCUGAGAGUUAGGGUGGCGCCUGUGGCUCAAAGGGGUAGGGCACCGGUGCCAUAUGCCAGAGGUGGCAGGUUCAAACCCAGCCCUGGCCAAAAACCACAAAAAAAUAAAUAAAAAUAAAGAA